rnacentral:lncRNA from 1 species
UUAUUACAAAACAGAGCCGGUUCUUUCGCUGGCCAUUUCCACACCGGAACGAAGAACGCUUUCAACACCUUUUCGUACUCAACGAGAUCUGCUGUUGAUCCGCAGUUUAUGCAUCUGCCCGCACCUGAUUUCAGCACCCGACUCACCUGUUGGUUCACUCCUCCCACGAAGAAGAAGAACAUUUUCUUUCUUUUUUUCCCCUCUAACUUUCUAUUUAUUUAUUUAUUUCGUAUAACUUGCUAUUUAUUAUUUGUUAGGGGUUCAAUUAAUUAUUUACUUGGCUUGGCAGGCAGAUAUCCAAAUAAGAAGAGGAGGCGGUAGGGGUUUUCGCUGUAGCUGGAGUAGACUCUAGAGGGUUCUGGGUUUUCUUUAGUUUAUAUUUGCUACUAAAUUUAUUUAGCUGCCCAUUGGAGGGUAAGAAAA